CGCACGGGUGAGUAACACGUAUCCAACCUGCCGUCUACUCUUGGACAGCCUUCUGAAAGGAAGAUUAAUACAAGAUGGCAUCAUGAGUCCGCAUGUUCACAUGAUUAAAGGUAUUCCGGUAGACGAUGGGGAUGCGUUCCAUUAGAUAGUUGGCGGGGUAACGGCCCACCUAGUCUUCGAUGGAUAGGGGUUCUGAGAGGAAGGUCCCCCACAUUGGAACUGAGACACGGUCCAA
rnacentral:rRNA from 1 species